UAGGGAAUCUUCCGCAAUGGGCGAAAGCCUGACGGAGCAACGCCGCGUGAGUGAUGAAGGUCUUCGGAUCGUAAAACUCUGUUAUUAGGGAAGAACAAAUGUGUAAGUAACUAUGCACGUCUUGACGGUACCUAAUCAGAAAGCCACGGCUAACUACGUGCCAGCAGCCGCGGUAAUACGUAGGUGGCAAGCGUUAUCCGGAAUUAUUGGGCGUAAAGCGCGCGUAGGCGGUUUUUUAAGUCUGAUGUGAAAGCCCACGGCUAAACCGUGGAGGGUCAUUGGAAACUGGAAAACUUGAGUGCAGAAGAAGAAAGUGGAAUGCAAUGUGUAGCGGUGAAAUGCGCAGAGAAAUGGAGGAAGACCAGUGGCGAAGGCGACUUUCUGGUCUGUAACUGACGCUGAUGUGCGAAAGCGUGGGGAUCAAACAGG
rnacentral:rRNA from 1 species